UUUCCGUAGGUGAACCUGCGGAAGGAUCAUUAUUGAAUUUUGUAGUAGGCUUGAUGCUGGCCUUUCGAGGCAUGUGCUCGGCCUUGCUCAAAUCCAUUCAACACCUGUGCACUUUCAAAGUCGUGGUCCUCCGUUAUGGGAGCCGCGCUUCAUUAACUUGAAGUGCUGGGACUGCACUUUGCCUUAUCACAAACUCAGUUCUUGUAAUGUAGAAUGUCUUAGCCUUAGUUGGCGAAACUAAUACAACUUUCAACAACGGAUCUCUUGGCUCUCGCAUCGAUGAAGAACGCAGC
rnacentral:misc_RNA from 1 species